rnacentral:rRNA from 1 species
UGGGGAAUAUUGCACAAUGGGCGAAAGCCUGAUGCAGCAACGCCGCGUGAGCGAAGAAGGCCUUUGGGUCGUAAAGCUCUGUCCUUGGGGAAGAUAAUGACGGUACCCAUGGAGGAAGCCCCGGCUAACUACGUGCCAGCAGCCGCGGUAAUACGUAGGGGGCGAGCGUUAUCCGGAAUUAUUGGGCGUAAAGAGUGCGUAGGUGGUUCUUUAAGCGUGAGGUGAAAGGCAAUAGCUCAACUAUUGUAAGCCUUGCGAACUGGGGGACUUGAGUGCAGGAGAGGAAAGCGGAAUUCCUAGUGUAGCGGUGAAAUGCGUAGAUAUUAGGAGGAACACCAGUGGCGAAGGCGGCUUUCUGGACUGUAACUGACACUGAGGCACGAAAGCGUGGGGAGCAAACA